GGUAUAGUUCAGUUGGUUAGAGCGUCAGAUUGUGGUUCUGAAUGUCGUCGGUUCGAGUCCGACUAUC
rnacentral:tRNA from 2 species